UCUCCUCCAUCGACGGUGACGACCUCCCUGGCGAACCACUCCUCCAUCGACAGCGACGGCCUCCCUGGCGAACCACUCCUCCAUCGACAGCGACGGCCUCCUAAGGUAUGAAUCCACCGAGUCCUUCCUAUUCCUCUUCCUAUUGAUUAGAUUAGGGUUCCCCGACGCAUGCUGAUUAGGGUUCCAUUGUAGAUAGAGUAGUAGAUCAAGAGGAGGCACCGUCUAGGACACCGACAAGGCCAACAAGCUCAAGCAGUCGUCGUCCCCCCGUGUUCUUUGAUUUGCUUUGUUU
rnacentral:lncRNA from 1 species